CAGUCGAACGAAACUUCUUUAUCACCGAGUGCUUGCACUCACCGAUAAACAGUUGAGUGGCGAACGGGUGAGUAACACGUGGGCAACCUGCCCAAAAGAGGGGGAUAACACUUGGAAACAGGUGCUAAUACCGCAUAACCAUAGUUACCGCAUGGUAACUAUGUAAAAGGUGGCUAUGCUACCGCUUUUGGAUGGGCCCGCGGCGCAUUAGCUAGUUGGUGGGGUAAAGGCUUACCAAGGCAAUGAUGCGUAGCCGAACUGAGAGGUUGAUCGGCCACAUUGGGGCUGAGACACGGCCCAAACUCCUACGGGAGGCAGCAGUAGGGAAUCUUCCACAAUGGGCGAAAGCCUGAUGGAGCAACGCCGCGUGGGUGAAGAAGGUCUUCGGAUCGUAAAACCCUGUUGUUAGAGAAGAAAGUGCGUGAGAGUAACUGUUCACGUUUCGACGGUAUCUAACCAGAAAGCCACGGCUAACUACGUGCCAGCAGCCGCGGUAAUACGUAGGUGGCAAGCGUUAUCCGGAUUUAUUGGGCGUAAAGGGAACGCAGGCGGUCUUUUAAGUCUGAUGUGAAAGCCUUCGGCUUAACCGGAGUAGUGCAUUGGAAACUGGGAGACUUGAGUGCAGAAGAGGAGAGUGGAACUCCAUGUGUAGCGGUGAAAUGCGUAGAUAUAUGGAAGAACACCAGUGGCGAAAGCGGCUCUCUGGUCUGUAACUGACGCUGAGGUUCGAAAGCGUGGGUAGCAAACAGGAUUAGAUACCCUGGUAGUCCACGCCGUAAACGAUGAAUGCUAA
rnacentral:rRNA from 1 species